rnacentral:rRNA from 1 species
CUCGUAGGCGGUUCGUCGCGUCCGGUGUGAAAGUCCAUCGCUUAACGGUGGAUCUGCGCCGGGUACGGGCGGGCUGGAGUGCGGUAGGGGAGACUGGAAUUCCCGGUGUAACGGUGGAAUGUGUAGAUAUCGGGGAGAACACCAAUGGCGAAGGCAGGUCUCUGGGCCGUUACUGACGCUGAGGAGCGAAAGCGUGGGGAGCGAACA